rnacentral:rRNA from 1 species
AAACGGCCGCGGUACCCUAACCGUGCAAAGGUAGCAUAAUCAUUUGCCUUUUAAUUGGAGGCUUGUAUGAAUGGUUUGACGAGGGCUAAGCUGUCUCUUUUAAAAUAUGUAGAAAUUAACCUUUAGGUGAAGAGGCCUAAAUUUGGCUGAGGGACAAGAAGACCCUAUUGAGCUUUAGUUUUGUAAUAAAUAAUAAGUUUUUGGUUUGUCCUAUAAAUGUAUUUAUAUAGUACAAUUUUGUUGCGGAUUUUUAGUUGGGGCGACUGAGGAACAUAAAAAGCUUCCUUUAACAUAGGGUGGACUUUGUGCACUGGGUGAAGAGUGAGUUCUUUCCGGUUAAUGUGAUCCAGUAGUUUAUUGAUUAAAGGAAAAAGUUACCAUAGGGAUAACAGCGUAAUCUUUCUGGAGAGAUCUUAUCGAAGGGAGGGUUUGCGACCUCG